UACGGGGGGAGCAAGCGUUGUUCGGAUUUACUGGGCGUAAAGGGCGCGUAGGCGGUCAGUGCAAGUCAGUUGUGAAAUCUCCGGGCUUAACUCGGAAAGGUCAACUGAUACUGCUCGACUAGAGUGCGGAAGGGGCAACUGGAAUUCUUGGUGUAGCGGUGAAAUGCGUAGAUAUCAAGAGGAACACCUGCGGCGAAGGCGGGUUGCUGGGCCGACACUGACGCUGAGGCGCGACAGCGUGGGGAGCAAACAGG
rnacentral:rRNA from 1 species